UAAUGGCAGGUCAGCAUACUGCCGUGAAUACGUUCCCGGGCCUUGUACACACCGCCCGUCACACCAUGAGAGUUGGGAAUACCCGAAGCCUGUGAGCUAACUAUUUAUAGAGGCAGCAGUCGAAGGUAGAAUCAAUGAUUGGGGUGAAGUCGUAACAAGGUACC
rnacentral:rRNA from 1 species